AACGAACGCUGGCGGCAGGCCUAAUACAUGCAAGUCGAGCGCGCCCUUGUGGUGAGCGGCGGACGGGUUAGUAACGCGUGGGAACGUGCCCUUCUCUAAGGAAUAGCCUCUGGAAACGGAGAGUAAUACCUUAUACGCCCUUCGGGGAAGGAUUAUCGGAGAAGGAUCGGCCCGCGUUAGAUUAGAUAGUUGGUGGGGUAACGGCCUACCAAGUCUACGAUCUAUAGCUGGUUUUAGUAGGAUGAUCAGCAACACUGGGACUGAGACACGGCCCAGACUCCUACGGGAGGCAGCAGUAGGGAAUCUUGGACAAUGGGGGGCAACCCUGAUCCAGCCAUGCCGCGUGAGUGAAGAAGGCCUUAGGGUCGUAAAGCUCUUUCGCCUGUGAUGAUAAUGACAGUAGCAGGUAAAGAAACCCCGGCUAACUCCGUGCCAG
rnacentral:rRNA from 1 species